CUAUGGCACGUUUUUCAACCUCCACAGCUAUGAACUUGAAACUUAGUACAUAUAACCCCCUAUACCAGAUAACCUCUGGUGCUGAAUUUCGGUCUGAUCUGAUUCUCAACUUGGCCACCAGGGGGCCGAAUGUGGAUACCUAAAAAGUGUGAUAAUUCGCUUAUCAAUAACUUGUUUUCAAUAAAACUUUCGUGGUGGGUACUAAUAGCAAGGAUACAUCAUAUAUCGUACGGGUUUUUAAUUUGACCUACUUUUCAAGGUUGCAGAGGUCAAAUGGCAUAAAUUGGCUGUUUCAGUGUAACUAUGGCACGUUUCUCAACCGCCACAGCUAUGAACUUGAAACUUGGUACAUAUAACCCCCUAUAUCAGAUAACGUCUUGUGCUGAAUAUCGGUCCGAUCUGAUUCUCAAUUUGGCCACCAGGGGGUCGAAUGUGGAUAUCUAAAAAGUGUGAUAUCUCGCUUGAUGACUUGUUUUCGAUAAAACUUUUGUGGUAGGUACUCAUAGCAAGGAUACAUCAUAUAUCAUAUGGGUUUUUAAUUUGACCUACUUGUCAAGGUCACAGAGGUCACAACGCAGACACAGAUAUGGCCGAAAUUGCAUGUUUCGUGUUUUUCGUGUUGUGGCAAUCCAAAGGUCGUGAGUUCAAACCCCGGUCAAGGACGGCCAAAAAUAUUUUUUUUAUUUUAUUAUUUUUUUUAUCUUUUCACUUUUGUCUUUUCUGACUUGUACCUUACAUUUUCUUGAUUUUUUAUUUAUUUGGUGCCAUAUCAUUAGGUGGCUAUCUUGGAAAUCAUUUUUUGUCAUUUUGUAGCCUAUUGUUGUCACUAGAGUGAUGAAAUUGUUGGUGGAUGUGUAUACAUAUCACCCUGGUUUAUCAUUUGACCUAUCAAUCAGGGAUCACUGAGGUCAAAGUUAAAAAUUCACCAUUGUCAUCAAGUGGCACGUUCUUCACUAUUAUUUUGACCUAGACUGUACAUGCAAGCUUGGUACCGCAAGUCUCGGAUUCACCACUUGGCCAGGGCCAGUUCUGAACAGAUCACAGAUGCAUGUGUGAAUAAGGAGAGGCCUACAUGAUCAUAGGAAAAAAGGCAGUUGUCUGAUUUGUCAUACCUUACAGAAAUAUUAGAACAGCUCAUAGAUCAUUCCAAAUUUAGGCCCCACAGGCCAAAGUGGCAGCUGCAAGUACCGCACAUCAAAUUAUGCUUAUGAUUAACCCACCACAAUCGGGUGGGAAACUUGUACCAUGUGACCAUUACUUCUUGGAUUUUAUUGAAAAUUAUUUCAAAGAUGCCACUAAAUUUGUGCACGAAAGGCGCCCUAUAAGUAUAGUUGGAGACCAUACAUAAAUAUGCUGUACUACUACUAUUGUUUCAAUUCAGUUAGGAGGAAAGGAUUUCUAUGUAGGGUCUGCUGUAUUUAGGUUCUGCAUCACUGAAACUGAAAAAAAUACAUAUUUGAAAAAUAUCAGAGAAUAAUUUAUUCAGUAAAGGCGCUCCAUACAUUGACCACUUCCUGUUUCUCAUCUUGCAAGAGACUGCACAUGUGCUUGAUUUCAGGAUUUUCAAAGUGUUAUUAGUGCAUUAUUGGUUGUUGCUAUUUCUAUGAGUCAUUGAGUGUAUUGCUGAUGCAGAUCAAGCUUAUUUAGGGCUACUGCGAUUGACACACUUAAGCAAGGUUGUGUGCUAUUGACACCAAAGUGGUGGUGGGGUUGUUGGAGGUUUUGAUAAUCUAACGCAGAUUUGGCUUGCACUAGCCACGACGACCUUCCACUGCUGACAAUUGACCAAGUGUCCUUUGUACGCCUGCCCUCCGAGUGAUAUUGGCUGUGCCUGCCAUAUAACUCUGGCAUUGGUGUUUAUUGCCUCUCACCAAGGCCCUCUCACAUUGGUGAGAACAUAGUUCAAGUGUCAGCGUACACUUGAACUUAAUCGCAGGUGUCAGCGUGCACCUGUGCCUGCCGGGUAACUCUGGCAUUGGUAACUGUGCAAGUGUUCAUCACACUUGCGUUUGCCUCUAACCAAGGCCCUCUCACAUUGGUGAGAACAAAGUUCAAGUGUCAGCGUGUACUUGAACUUAAUCGCAGGUGUCAGCGUGCACCUGUGCCUGCCGGGUAACUCUGGCAUAAUUUUCCAUUGAUGAAUUUUCAUCUCGAGAAUUCUCAUUUGGAAAAUUUUGCGUAACGCUGCUGGCGCUUUCUGAAGUUGUCUGCCCUGCUUGAGACAGCGUGCAACUUUCCACAGGUUGCACAGUCCAGGCUCUCUCACGAGAACCCAUAGCAGCACAGCAGGCUGCACGCCUGUUAUAUAAGCAUAAGCAAACGAAGAACAUAAGCAUAAGCAAACAAACAACCAGCAAAGCAAACUAUAUAAUCAGAAACAAAGAAAGCAAGCAAACCAGACCUACGAAGCAAAACCAAGUGAAGCGCUAUCAAAGUUAUGUGAAGAAGAAAAAGAUACUUCUCAAGAUUGACCAGCAGAACAGUCCAUUAAAGCCUGAAGGAAAAAGGUUGAUACUCAUUUCCCAUCGACUCCAUUUUAUAGGUGCAUCUUGUAGGACCAGCUACUCUUCAUCAUCGUUCCGACUAUUUUACUGUAUCCACCGUCAUUCUGUACUAUGUCUUUGUUAUAAUAUAAGUAUAUUUUUUCUUCAUAAAUAAACUCUUACUUGUAUAUUAUAGUAGACUUUGGUUCCUAUCUAUAGAUAGACAGAGACAUAGCUACAAAGGAACUGUUCCUGUAAUAUUGUUCAUCACCAAAAGUGCACAGCUAAUUGUGACAAUUUGGACAACCGGUCAAGACUCAAUAAAAUUCAUCGGAAGGUCGAGUGUAACCCUCUGAUUGUUCAGUUCUUCAAUAUAUUUACUACCCGUACUGAUAAUAUAUUUCCUACUUCUACCUGCAACAACGUGUUACUCCUGUUGAUAUUGAACCUAAGAUUGUGACGAUCAUAUUGGCCACAGAAAGGGUACGACAUUAUUGUCGCUGAUUAUGACUAUUGGGGAUAGACCGAUCAAGAGUGUGAAGUACAAUACUUCUGAAAGACAAGUACAUAUGAACUGAAUCAACUUCUUGAAAUAUUGCACUAUCGAAUUAUUUAGGGAAAAAAAGCGUGUCGCGCUUGUAGUAAGUUGUGUCAAUCGUAUUGUGUAAUUUAAUCCGUGGAAUAGAUAAAAGUAAGCAUGAUAUCUGUUGAACAAUACCGUUCAGCUGUGGGCUGUUUCUAUAGUAGAGCAACAUCCAGCAAACAUAAGGACAUUGGUCAGUGUGGAUGCACCAAAAUCUUCAUACCACACAGAGAUAACUCGAAAGGCUACAGUCUGUCUGAACUGUAUAGCUACAACAUUAGGUUU